AGGCGGUCUGUCAAGUCGGAUGUGAAAUCCCCGGGCUCAACCUGGGAACUGCAUUCGAAACUGGCAGGCUUGAGUCUUGUAGAGGGGGGUAGAAUUCCAGGUGUAGCGGUGAAAUGCGUAGAGAUCUGGAGGAAUACCGGUGGCGAAGGCGGCCCCCUGGACAAAGACUGACGCUCAGGUGCGAAAGCGUGGGGAGCAAACAGGAUUAGAUACCCUGGUAGUCCACGCCGUAAACGAUGUCUACUUGGAGGUUGUGCCCUUGAGGCGUGGCUUCCGGAG
rnacentral:rRNA from 1 species